rnacentral:rRNA from 1 species
ACCAGACUCCUACGGGAGGCAGCAGUGAGGAAUAUUGGUCAAUGGGCUUACGCCUGAACCAGCCAAGCCGCGUGAGGGAUGAAGGUACAGAGUAUCGUAAACCUCUUUUGUCAGGGAACAAAGGCGGGGACGCGUCCCCGGAUGAGUGUACCUGAAGAAAAAGCAUCGGCUAACUCCGUGCCAGCAGCCGCGGUAAUACGGAGGAUGCGAGCGUUAUCCGGAUUUAUUGGGUUUAAAGGGUGCGCAGGCGGCCUGUUAAGUCAGCGGUAAAAGCCCGGGGCUCAACCCCGGUCCGCCGUUGAAACUGGCAGUCUCGAGUUGGAGAGAAGUAUGCGGAAUGCGCGGUGUAGCGGUGAAAUGCAUAGAUAUCGCGCAGAACUCCGAUUGCGAAGGCAGCAUGCCGGCUCCACACUGACGCUGAGGCACGAAAGCGUGGGUAUCGAACAGGAUUAGAUACCCGAGUAAC